CUCCUAUUGGAGGCAGCAGUGGGGAAUCUUCCGCAAUGGGCGAAAGCCUGACGGAGCAAUGCCGCGUGAGUGAUGAAGGAAUUCGUUCCGUAAAGCUCUUUUGUUUAUGACGAAUGUGCAGAUUGUGAAUAAUGAUCUGUAAUGACGGUAGUAAACGAAUAAGCCACGGCUAACUACGUGCCAGCAGCCGCGGUAAUACGUAGGUGGCGAGCGUUGUCCGGAAUUAUUGGGCGUAAAGAGCAUGUAGGCGGUUUUUUAAGUCUGGAGUGUUAAUGCGGGGCUCAACCCCGUAUGGCUCUGGAUACUGGAAGACUUGAGUGCAGGAGAGGAAAGGGGAAUUCCCAGUGUAGCGGUGAAAUGCGUAGAUAUUGGGAGGAACACCAGUGGCGAAGGCGCCUUUCUGGACUGUGUCUGACGCUGAGAUGCGAAAGCCAGGGUAGCGAACGGGAUUAGAUACCCCGGUAGUCCUGGCCGUAAACGAUGGGUACUAGGUGUAGGAGGUAUCGACCCCUUCUGUGCCGGAGUUAACGCAAUAAGUACCCCGCCUGGGGAGUACGUCCGCAAGGAUGAAACUCAAAGGAAUUGACGGAGGCCCGCACAAGCGGUGGAGUAUGUGGUUUAAUUCGACGCAACGCGAAGAACCUUACCAAGGCUUGACAUUGAAUGACCGCUCCAGAGAUGGAGCUUUCCCUUCGGGGACAUGAAAACAGGUGGUGCAUGGCUGCCGUCAGCUCGUGUCGUGAGAUGUUGGGUUAAGUCCCGCAACGAGCGCAACCCCUAUCCUAUGUUACCAGCGGGUAAUGCCGGGGACUCAUAGGAGACUGCCAAGGACAACUUGGAGGAAGGCGGGGAUGACGUCAAGUCAUCAUGCCCCUUAUGUCUUGGGCUACACACGUACUACAAUGGUCGGCAACAGAGGGAAGCAAAGCCGUGAGGCAGAGCAAACCCCAGAAACCCGAUCCCAGUUCGGAUUGCAGGCUGCAACUCGCCUGCAUGAAGUCGGAAUCGCUAGUAAUCGCAGGUCAGCAUACUGCGGUGAAUACGUUCCCGGGCCUUGUA
rnacentral:rRNA from 1 species